GACGCGGUGGCCUAAUGGUUAGCGCGUUAGACUCCGGAUCGAGCGGCCUGGGUUCGAGCCCUACCCUGGGUCA
rnacentral:tRNA from 1 species